AAACUAGGGCCCCGUUGGGGCACUGGCGGGCCCGAGCCGCGUCGCGCCGCCCCCAGCGCGACCGCCUCCCCGUCCCAUUCGUGCCCUCUGGCCAUCGCCCUCUCUGGUGACGCCCAUCACUGCAAAGACCCUUUUCCUUCAUCGGUGUUUGCUGUUCUUCCUGCCAUUGCGUGUUGCUUUCACUUACACUUGCCACAGCCAGCCUCGUGAGUGCCUGGCCUGGUUUGACCUUUGCUCACCAUGAUUGUGUGACCUUGGUAUCAGCUACUUGGGAAGUUCAACCGUUGUGGCAAAGCUUUGUUUGCGUGCUGUGCUCAACCACCUAUUUUCUAUGGAUGUGUAAGUAAACCACUUUCUUUCUUACACAAUGACACACUCAUACUUAUCACUCACUGCUACUGAUGUGCUCUGUUAGUAUGCAUGCAGGAAACCUGAUGAAUGAAGAAAUGCCCAGACUAGCCAACAUCUCAAUAAAUUAUGAGGUAUGACAUCACUUGAAUGGUUUCCUUGGACUAUGCUUCCAUUAUUCUAAUUCUGUAAUAAAAAGAAAUUUUGUCCAAAAGGACUGUUGUUGUUUUUUCUUCUAAUAAUUAACAUAUUUAACAUAAUUAACAUUCAAUAUGCGCUCAUUACACACGUGCACACUCUUUGAUGAUCUGAGAAGCAGAGCUUAAAGGACAGUAGGAGUAGCUGAACAAAGUGUAUUUGUAGGAAAGCCGUAAGAGCUAUUGAAACGCCGUUUUCGCGGGUUGAAAGGUUAGGGUGUCCACCAAAGGUCAGAGGUCAAAUAACAUUUGUAUCUCAAACUGUGACGUCAAAGUCAAGGUCCAAAGAUGGUGUGCGCACCUGUCUUUGGUCAUUUCCCAUUAUAAUGAAUGGGAGGCACAGUUUCUACCAAAACGCUCGCUGCAGACAAACUACAUGUCCUAUUUGAAAAAACUCUGGACCAUGAGUGAGGGCACAAACACAGCUAGGACAUAUCCACAUGGCAAGUUGCUCCUCCUUUUGGUUUUAGCGGGAGAGCAAUGCGUUUGAGCCAUUAAGCGAUGGGCUGGAAAAACUUGACUUUUUCUCCUGCCAUGGGGGGGGGGGGGGGCGCUCUUUUGGGGAGAAAAAAUUCCUUCACAGAUGUGUUGAUGGCUGCACAUUGCAUCAACCUAGAAAAAUUGGAGGCCAGUGAGGACAAAAAUAAAAAGUUAUAAGACUUUUAAAAAUGUGGAUAUUUGGGUCAUCUUUGGCGCCCCCUAGAACCUAAACCGUGGGGUGCAGCGUCAUGAUUUGUACAACUUUGAAUGGCCAUGGGGUGUAGAUUGGCCUGAGCAAAUUUGGUGUCAGUAGAACGAAAGCCUUAGGAGGAGUUAGCCACAUUCCAAUGUGUGCGAAUCGGCAAAAAAUGCAAGAUAGCCCUUUAACCGUACAUUUUACAGAUAUGUGCCCAUUGACUUUUUCGUAGAUCUUAUUGAGAUACACGUGUGUGUCAAAUUUUGUGUCAAUAUGACAAAGCGUAUAGGCGUGACACUGAACAAUGUGUAUUUUCACCUUAGGGGACAAGAAAAAAUGGCCUUUUUUGUCCUGCCAUGGGGGGGCGCUGUUUUGGGGAGUAAAAAUUCCUUCACAAAUGUGUUGAUGGCUGGACAUUGCAUCAUCCUAGAAAACUUGGAGGCCAAUGAGGACAAAAAUAAAAAGUUAUAAGAUUUUUAAGAAUGUGGAUUUGUGGGUUAUCUUUGGCGCCCCCUAGAACGUAAACCGUGGGGUGCAGCGUCAUGAUUUGUACAACUUUCAAUGGCCAUGGGGUGUAGAUUGGCCUGAGCAAAUGUAGUGCUGGUGGAACGAAAGCCUUCGGAGGAGUUAGCGAAAUUCCAAUGUGUGCGGAACGGCAAAAAAUGCGAAAUAACCCUUUAACCGUACAUUUGACAGAUACGCCCGCACUGACUUUUUUGUAGAUCUUAUUGAGAUACAUGUGUGUGUCAAUUUUUGUGUCAAUAUGACAAAGCGUACAGACGUGACAGUCAAUAGUGUGAAUUUUCACCUUUGGGGGCGCUAUUGAGCCAUUUUGCAUUUUCUUGUUUGGGCGGCUUCAGAAUAUCGAAUUUUUCACCAGGCCCGGUCGUCCUGCCAAAUUUCAUGAGUUUUCGCCAGUGGGAAGUGGGCCAUUUUCCAGUUUAAAGCGGAGGAAAAAUAAUAACUAGGGCCCCGUUGGGGCACUGGCGGGCCCGAGCCGUGUCGCACCCCCCCCCCCCCCCCCAACGCGCUGCCUCCCCGUCCCAUUCGUGUCCUCUGGCCAUCGCCCUCUCUGGUAACGCCCAUCACUGCAAAGACCCUUUUCCUUCAUCGGCGUUUGCUGUUCUUCCUGCCAGUGUGUGUUGCUUUCACUUACACUUGCCACAGCCAGCCUCGUGAGUGCCUAGCCUAUUGGAUAUCACUGUCACCUACACAGGACAGUCAUACUUUGUUUUUUAAUUUCACAUUAAUUUCCAUAUUGUAUAAACGACUGGAAAAAACUUGAGCCCCUGCCCCUGUAUUAUCAUGUGCACGUCCCUGUUCUAGCUCCAAGGUGAAUCUUCACUGCUCAUGUUCUCCUCAGAAGCAGUCACCUCACUCCCCUCAGGUUACUGUACACAUGCACCAACUGCCUGCUUCAGGUUUGGAUGGAGCUUCAUGGUUGUCUUUUGGAGAAAUGAGCAGUCAAGUUGUGUUUGAAAUUUGAUUUUUUUCAGGGGCAAAAGGAAGCCUCUGCAUUCUUGUCAAAUAUGUAAAUAGCAUGUUUUUGCAGGUGCUAAAAAACAGACUCUGAGUGUGUGUGUGUGUGUGUGUGUGUGUGUGUGUGUGUGUGUGUGUGUGCGUGUGUGUCUGUGUGUGUGUGUGUGUGUAUCCUGCAGUACUCUGAGAAGAAUAAUAAGCAUAUUUCUGAGGUGAAUUUUGAAGAUUCAUCUGAGAGUUAGGUUUGAUUCGAUUCGAUUGACGCUCCCCAGCGUUCAAGUCACAUGACAUAUUUAACCGGAUGUAGCUGCAAGACGGAGCCUCGUUAACUCUCCGUUUCAACUUAUCUCAAAAGUGAGGACCUCAACCUAUAUACCAGUUUUUAAAUUGUGUUGAUAGGCCAAAUAAAACCAGAGUUAUGAUAAAUUAUGUCCGCGAUACUUUUUUUCUGCUUAUUUUGAUCACGUUCGGUGCUCGAUUGCGCUGUAUGAGACAGGAAAACAUAGCAUGCAGACAUUAGCGACAGGUCUUACAGGCGGAAAAGGCUUGCCAAAAGAAAAAAAAAAACACCACAACAUCUCUCCUAUUGGUGGAAAACUUCACCACAACAACCAAUCCAAAAUUAUAUGGUGACUGAUUGACAAGGGGCGGGCGCUUACGUUCUUCCUGCAAUAUGAGAAGGGAGGGAGGGACUCUCAGCAGGGAUGCAGUCUGGGACACGUAGUUGCAAACCUAGCGACUGUGUUGUUAGAUUCAAUUACUUUUCAGACCCCCUAACGACUUUUUUUUAGAAAGAAAGGGACUUUUAUCGACUUCUUCUGGAGUUUAGAGACUCUGACAUGAAGCAGGCUUUCCUUACUGAGGAGUUAGCAACGCUGCUAAGGGUGCAGAGCCACACAUGCGCUCCGAGCUCUGCAUGGGAGACUGAAGCUGACAGAGCUGCAGCAGUUAGCAGGUUUCACCCUCAGAGACCACCAGGGGUUCAUGUUGAGGCAUUUUCAGUUUUUGUUUUUUUUGCCAUAGACUGUCAGCACAAUCUGCAGUUACACUAACAAAAAUGCUGCAAAAAACAAAGAAUUAUGGAAAAAUUACACAUGGACUGACAUAGAGGAGGAUCUACACAAGUUUUUUACAUCAUGUUUUACAUCAUGCAUCAUUUACAUCAUGUUUUUUUGUAGUGGCAUAAAUAAAAAGUGACAUUUGUGAGACUAUACAGUGUUUUGUAAAUAAUUUUACAAAGAACGCCUGGGCCAUUGCCUGCAUUUUGAUGUAAAUAGAGGUAAAUUACUAUGUUCUUUGUUAAAAAUUUGCAUAUGUUUUGAAGUUUACAAUUUUUAUUUGAAGUUUAAGUUUUAAAAACAGUUCAUCACACAUAUUUGUGUUUUAAUUUCACAUUAAUUUCCAUAUUGUAUAAAUGACUGGAAAAAUCUUGAGCCCCUGCCCCUGUAUUAUCAUGUGCACGUCCCUGUUCUAGCUCCAAGGUGAAUCUUCACUGCUCAUGUUCUCCUCAGAAAUAGUCACCUCACUCCCCUCAGGUUACUGUACACAUGCACCAACUAUCUGCUUCAGGUUUGGAUGGAGCUUCAUGGUUGUCUUUUGGAGAAAUGAACAGUCAAGUUGUGUUUGAAAUCUGAUUUUUUUCAGGGGCAAAAGGAAGCCUCUGCAUUCUUGUCAAAUAUGUAAACAGCAUGUUUUUGCAGGUGCUAAAAAACAGACUCUGAGUGUGUGUGUGUGUGUGUGUGUGUGUGUGUGUGUGUGUGUGUGUGUGUGUGUGUGUGUGUGUGUAUCCUGCAGUACUCUGUACUCCUGCAGUGGCCAAAAAGACUUUUAAGAAUGUGGAUUUUUGGGUCAUCUUUGGCGCCCCCUAGAACUGCAGUACUCUGUACUCCUGCAGUGGCCAAAAUGACUUUUAAGAAUGUGGAUUUUUGGGUCAUCUUUGGCGCCCCCUAGAACGUAAACCGUGGGGUGCAGCGUCAUGAUUUUUACAACUUUGAAUGGCCAUAGGAUGUAGAUCGGCUUGAGCAAAUUUGGUGUUGGUGGGACGAAAGCCUUAGGAGGAGUUAGCGAAAUUCCAAUGUGUGCGGAUCGGGAAAAAAUGCGAAAUAGCCCUUUAACCAUACAUUAUACAGAUACGCGCUCUUUGACUUUUUCGUAGAUCUUAUUGAGAUACACGUGAUUGUCAAAUUUUGUGUCAAUAUGACAAAGCGUUCAGGCGUGACACUCUACAAUGUGUAUUUUCAUGUUAGGGGACAAGAAAAAAUGGACUUUUUUCACCUGCCAUGGGGGGGCGCUCUUUUGGGGAGUAAAAAUUCCUUCACAAAUGUGUUGAUGGCUGGACAUUGCAUCAUCCUAGAAAACUUGGAGGCCAGUGAGGACAAAAAUAAAAAGUUAUAAGACUUUUAAGAAUGUGGAUUUUUGGGUUAUCUUUGGCGCCCCCUAGAACGUAAACCGUGGGGUGCAGCGUCAUGAUUUGUACAACUUUUAAUGGCCAUGGGGUGUAGAUUGGCCUGAGCAAAUUUGGUGCCGGUGGAACGAAAGCCUUCGGAGGAGUUAGCGAAAUUCCAAUGUGUGCGGAUCGGCAAAAAAUGCAAAAUAGCCCUUUAACGGUACAUUUGACAGAUACGCCCGCACUGACUUUUUUGUAGGUCUUAUUGAGAUACACAUGUGUGUCAAAUUUUGUGUCAAUUUGACAAAGCGUACAGGCGUCAGGUGAAUUUUCACCAUAGGGGGCGCUAUGG